GUUAAUUACAGAAUUAUGAUUAGAGUCUGGAGAAUCAAAAGAAAGUAUAUAAGAAUUGUAGAAGAUAAUUAAGGGCCACACUGUGAUAAUCAUGAGCCAAGGACCAUCACUGUAAUAGUUACGAGUCGGGGUAAGCUUGGUGCUACCUCUUUUCUUUUAUUUGUUAUUUUCUUUGAAUAAGAAGAUUGAGAGUUUUUGAAUAUUGUAAAGUGAAUUAUGGAAUGAAAAUGUGAUUGGUAUUAUUUGAGAAGAAGAAAGAUUGAAUGCUGAAAUCUAAUUGUAGUUCAGUAGAGAGAACGAGUCUGUAUUUGUGUGAAACACCGUAAUGUGAAUGGCAGUUUUGUGUGAAGAAUUCCAGUGAUUGAAAUGAGGGUAAUUGUGUGCUGAAAGCUGUGAAGGCGUAGUAUUACAGUUGGAGAUUAUGAGGAUGAAUAUAUUGGUGGAAAUAGCACUUAUUGGUAUGGCUGAAUUGCUGUAAGGAAGAGACCAAUAAGGUGAAGGAAGAGAUUAUAGUUUCAUUGUAUG
rnacentral:lncRNA from 1 species